GCAGAGAUGCUUUGGUGCCUUCGGGAACUCUGAGACAGGUGCUGCAUGGCUGUCGUCAGCUCGUGUUGUGAAAUGUUGGGUUAAGUCCCGCAACGAGCGCAACCCUUAUCCUUUGUUGCCAGCGGUCCGGCCGGGAACUCAAAGGAGACUGCCAGUGAUAAACUGGAGGAAGGUGGGGAUGACGUCAAGUCAUCAUGGCCCUUACGAGUAGGGCUACACACGUGCUACAAUGGCGCAUACAAAGAGAAGCGACCUCGCGAGAGCAAGCGGACCUCAUAAAGUGCGUCGUAGUCCGGAUUGGAGUCUGCAACUCGACUCCAUGAAGUCGGAAUCGCUAGUAAUCGUGGAUCAGAAUGCCACGGUGAAUACGUUCCCGGGCCUUGUACACACCGCCCGUCACACCAUGGGAGUGGGUUGCAAAAGAAGUAGGUAGCUUAACCUUCGGGAGGGCGCUUACCACUUUGUGAUUCAUGACUGGGGUGAAGUCGUAACAAGGUAACCGUAGGGGAACCUGCGGUUGGAUCACCUCCUU
rnacentral:rRNA from 1 species